UGCACCCUGUAGAACCUGAUUAACUGUCUGGCAGGGAAUAUCCACGCUGCUGCAGCAGCAUUUCUGCUGCCUCUGGGUAAAAUGAGAGCUCCCAGGAGCAUUAGCACAUGCUGAGAACAAAUGCUGAUGCUCUGAUCUGCUGGAGCAAAACUUCUCAUCCCUACUCUUCUGCUAAGACCUAGCUGAGUACUGGACCAUUGCAAUGGUCAUCCAGGGUCUGCUGAUGGGCCUCUUGGAGGGCUUUCUUCUCCUUUGUCAGCUUCACAAUGGUCUCAUCCAAAGCUGCCAUCUCCUCGCUCAAGAUGCACAGCUCAAGAUUUUCCACAGUUAGCCUGUCUUUUGCCUCAUUCCCUUUUUUCCUGCAAUUUGUCUGUCUCUGAGAAAAUUAAUAUAAAUUCUUCCCGGCCCCGGAUUCUCCGCUGCCAAAGCCAAGAGAGAAGCAGAGGGUGCGUGGUCAGGCAGGAGGUGCCCUGGCACUGGGCAGCCCCCAGGGACCCAUGCAGGGAGGGUACCUACGUGAUCAGGAUGGACUGGUUCUCACGAUCUGUGAACAAGGCAGAAACACAGUGCUCAAAACUCAAUAAACCACAGAGAAAGAAUGAAACAUAGUCAGUCUUGACAGUGACUUUUCCCGAUUCCCUGCUUGUGAUUGUCCCUUUUACAAAGGACUCCUUUGCAUGUACCACGAAGACAGAUGACUUGGCAUCAAAAGGUUUGUUCUGGGCCUCAAUUCUCUCCUUCUCUGACUUUCGGAGGUAAGGAGCCGCCUCCCCAAAGAUGGCCAUCUCAGCGUCCGAAGACAUGGCUGCACUUUAUGGAGGGGCUUGUCCGCUGAGAACACUGUGGAGGAGGAGAUAUGUUGCUCAAAUUUGCCAGAAAGAAAGCAUUUGUUAGGAGAAGAAAGGAGAAAUUGUGGGGAAAAAAAAAAAUCUUAAUAUUGCUGGUAGUCUUUUGGAAGGAAUUAUGAAUUUUUGCAUUGGUGCAAUUCAAUAUUUAUGGGAAAUGUCAAAAUUAUAUUUUGGGAUAUUAUUUGGCCUUUACUGAAAUCACAUUUAAAUAAUCUUUAGAUACUUAGAAUUCAACUAUUUAGGCACUGUACUAUGGAAUUAAGAACCUCAAAAAUCCUUUCAACUGCUUAAGAACUCUUAAAAUUGUUUGGAAAUAAUCUAAUGCUCUUUUCUCACAAUUGAUAGUUUUUUACAAAGAUCAGAAUGCUAAUACUCCUCUGUCUGAACUGCAUACUGAAAACUCUAGCUUCUUAAUGACUCAGUUUCAGUAUUUAGAACUAUGUUAUAAUUGUAUUAAUAAUACAAUUUUCUCUCAUUUUAUUGACUGCUUGAAUCCAGGCAUAAAUUGUAACAUGACUGUUAAAAGAAGAUUAAUGCUUUUCAAACCACACUGAGAUAGUUCCUUUUCUAGUACUUUCUUUUGUUUUUUAAAAAUUCAUAGAAUCUUAGAGAAAAACAAAUUUAAAAGAUUUAAAGCUCUAUUAAGCAUUUUAAAAAAAGAAAUUUUAAAGCCUGAAUUAAUUUAUCUGAAAUAUAUUUUUCUUUCCCCUGCCCUGAGGAAAAAAAAAUAAACAAUCACUAGGCAGCUUAGGAAAACACUUAAAUAUCUCUUUCUUUAUAAAGUUAAGUACCUUAUAUUUAUAUAACAUUUAAUCUUGUGUUUAUUUGUACUAAAAUGAGAAAAGAUAACAUGAUAUUUCUUUGUUUGUCUCUGGAGGAAUGGCUAGUGGCUUCCAGAGGAGGGGGGUGCUUCUUCCAUUUCUUGUGAGGUAGAGAACAAGCAGAGCAGGGAACAAAGGGCAGCAUUGCCUUUUACAGAGGUGUCAAUCAGAGCUUGGUUUCUUAUAUUACAGCUCUUACUGCUUUAGUGGUUCCAUGGCAAAUUUCAGGCAAAAUAUCACAUUAGAUAUUCUGAGACAAAAUGCUGAAUUUUGCAGUUUUCCCACUGUAUUCUCAGUUCAGUUACACAGCAACAACAGUGAUGGCAAGGCAGUGGAUCUCACUCCCUUUUAGGUGAGUUAAGCUGUAAGUGAAAAAUGUCCCCAUGGGGAUUUUCUGGCCUGCUAUGAGUAGUCAGAGACUUCAAACACAGCUCCUUAAAGAGUGGACCAGAUGACCUUAUGAGAUCCCCUAUAACCUGGAUGGUUCUCUGAUUCAAUAAUACACUUGAAAACCAUACCAACCUUCAGCACCCCACCACCUUAUACUGUGACUGCAGUGGAUUUAAGAAUAUACAGUGAAGCAGUGACCAUUCACUCAGCCAUACACACACCCACCCAAAAGGAUCUGUCUCUGUCCCUAUAAAUUAGAAAAUCAGCAUCUUACCUCUCGUGACACCAGAUGUGUGGCUUCUGGGCUGGCAGCUGAUCAGUGCUGUAAAACAGAAAUGACAGUUCCCAAAUUGCUGCUGAGCAAAAAUCAAGAGUGAAAACAUGCAGGUGCCUUGAAAACAGAUUUGUAAUGGAGUCCCCUCCUGCACAGGAGCACCAGAGGCAGCAGGAAUGUGGUGGCACAUUAGGCUGCCAUCCCCUUCCUGGCAGCCUGCAGACCCCAUCCCUUACCUUGGAGCUUUCUGUGGAGCCAGGGCAGACGUGUUGCAGGGACAUUUUAUACGAUCUCGCCUGCAGAUGCUGCAGAUGCCUCCUCUUUCUUCGGUCAAAAAUAUUUUGGCAAACCCUCUUUGGCUAAGCAUUGUCUGGCAAACUGAACUAAGGGCAUAAUUGUCAUUUGACAUGACUAGAUAUAAUUAGAAAAUUUUGAUGUCUUAGAGGCUAUAUGAAUACAUCUCCUAUAAAUAAUGUGACAGGGGUGUUAAGGAGGGAAUCUGGACUAGUCAAAGCACUUAAAGAACUUGGAUUCAGGACUUAUGGAUUCUAUUGCUGGCUUUCCCACCGACUCACUGCACGACCUGGGAUGGAUUGCUUGGUAUGUCUGUGCUGCAGCUACCCCAGCUGUACAAUGGGAAUGUCAGCUUUUAUCUUCCCCUUGUGAUGGUGUGAAUCUUGUAAGAAAUGCCUUAGAGGAAUACAUUGGGCAAGCCACUAAGGGGGAAGUCAGUAUUAUGAAAAGCAUUUGGCGGAUGUGCUGGUAAGAUUCUGAAAGCAGAGGAACAAUCUCUGUGAUAGUGUGAUAGUGCUGGUGCCUGAAAGUCAUAGACAGGGCAACAUAGUAUAAGGGACAAAGAUUUUGUCACAUAAAUAAGAAGCUAGGGUGUAGCUGAACUACUGGGGAAGGUUUCAGAGAGAGAUGUGAGGUCACUUCUGAUACAUGAAAAGGAGCAUUCCUAUAUUAGUGCAUAUAUACCAAUCUGUACACUUGAAAUUGCAAAAGAAAUGGGAGAUUCUCCAAGAAAGAAUAAUAAGCAUGUGCAUGAAUUUGUGCUAAGGUGAGUAUUGUAAGAUGUGCUGUGAUUUUUGCUAUGUAGAUCAGUGCAGCUUAAAUAUAGAUGUUUCUUUUUUUCUUGAUGGUGUUUUAAUUAAUCAGAAAAUACCCAUAUCCAGGACGGGACCUCAGUUGUUUCUUAUAUUUUUUUUUCCAAGUUUGACCUGUCAAUCUGCACCAUAAACAAAAGAAAUCUUGAGGUAAAGAUUUGGGCUUGUAGAGAUCUGUGCCAUUUGAAUACCCAUACCUCUUUCAACAAGGAACAUGAGGUUUGGUGUUGUUGGCAAACUUGCAGAGGAUGCCCCUGAACCCACUGCUCCUGUUGGCUAAAGAGAUAUUAAACACCUCUGGUUAUGUUUCCCCUUCUACAGUGGCAACUUCACCAGACAGCCACGACUUCUUAAGUAGAAUGGAUAGUGGCUUAGCCAUUUCCUCUGCCAGCUCCCUCAGGAUCUGUGGAUGGAUCUUAUCAGGUCCCAUGGACUUGUGCACCUCUAAGUUCCUUAAGUGGUCUCAAAUCUGAUCUUCUCCUACAGUGGGUGGUUCUUCAUUCUCCCAGUUCCUGACUUUGCCUUCUGCAAAUUAGAUGAUGUGUCUUAAACCCUUGCUGGUUAGCACAGAGGCAAAAAUUGCAUUGAGUACCUCAGCUUUCUCUAGAUCUCAGGAAAUUAGGUGACCCCAUUUCUUACAGAGAGGGCUGAAACUCUCCUGUCUUCCUUUUAUCACCCACAUUCCUACAGAAGCUUUUCUUGCUGCUUUUGAUAUCCCCUUAAUUCGAUCACAGCCUUAGCUUUCCUCUGCUCCUUGUCACUUGGACACUUUCCAAGUGACAAGAAGCAGAGGACAAUUGUCCAAUUGUUACUUGGACAAUUUCUCUAUAUUCUUCCUGGGCUACCUCUGUAGGCUUUCUUUCUGCAUUUGAGUUCAUCCAGGAGCUCCUUGUUCAUCCACGCACACCUGCUGGCAUUUUUGACUGACUUUCUCUUUGCUGGGAUGCUUCACUCCUGAGUUAUCCUUGAAAAGUCCAAAGUCUGCUCUCCUGAAGUCCAGGGUUCUGAGCUUGUUUUGUCCCAUCCUCGCUGUCUCAAGGAUCUCUAACUCCACCAUUUCAUGGUCCCUGCAGUCAAAGCUGACCUUGAGCUUCACAUUCCCCAUCAGCCCCUCCUUGUUGGUGAUAAUAAGGUCCAACACAACCCUCCUCCAGAUUGGCUCCUCCAUCACUUGUAAAAGAAGUUACCAUCACAAGAAAGUCCUGGACCAGUUCAACUGGUUCCAAAGGAGGGCUAAGAACUGGAACACCCCUCCUGUGAAAAAAAACUGAGCUACUUCACAGAAUCAUAGAAUCAUUAUGGUUGGAAAAAGCCUCCAAGAUCACAGAAUCCAACCUUUGACCAAACAGCACCACCGCCCUCACUAAACCACAGCAGUAAUUGCCAUGUCCAGUCAUUGGAGUUGUUCAGCCUGGAGAUGAGAAAGGUUCAAGGACACCUUCUUGAGGCCCUUCAAUACUUAAAGGGGGCUUGUAUAAAAGAGAGCAAAGAAUUUAAAGCACAAGAAGCACUGGUUUUAAGCUGAAAAAAUAUAGAUUUCAGAUAGAUAUAAGGCAGAAAUAUUUUAUGAUGAAUGUGGUGAGACACAGGGAUGGGAUUCCCAGAGAAGUAACAAAUGUGCCACUACUGGAGGCUGGGUUUGUUGGGGGUCUGACCAUUAUCCUUGAGGUCUUCUCUGAGAAGCUGCUGUUGCCUUUCUGUUAAGUCCUGCUCUCAGUGGCAUGUAGCAAGCCUGUCUUAUGCAGUGCUGUCAGGCUGGGACCUAAGGUAGCUUCUCACAUGUGAGUCAGGCUGUGAGAAAGAAUUCCUUCCUUGCUCCCUAAUCUCCUCUCAGUAGUCAGAUGACAUUUUCUCUAGCUGCAAAUCAUUCAAGUUUUAUUUAGUCAAAGGCCAAGUGUGUUUGGUCAGUGUUUCCAGGAGGACACAACUGUCACCUGUGUUAUGUAGCUAUAUAUUAUAUGUUAUUCUGCUAUAUAGCUUUCCACAGCUAUAUAGCAGAACAGACCCAUAUAUAUUCUUUGAGGAAAAAAUUGUGAAGGAAUUCCUGAAGUUAGGGCAGUAAAGGUGAAUGAAAGAUAUGCUCAAUAUGUAAAAUUUCCAAUUUUACAACAGGAAAAAAUACACUACUGUGUACAUUUCAAUAUAACAUCCAUAACUAUGGUAUGCAACAGUCCUACAAAAUCUAAAUGUAAGUAUAUAUGGAUAUUCACCUCUAAUUCUUACUGCUUUAAAACUUUUCUGUGCAUGAGCAACAUAUUCUUUGCCAGUAUAUUUCACAGUCCUAAACUCAGGUGACACCCUCUAUCAUUGUAAACAGAGUUAUAGUGGUUUUCUGUUUUUUCAAAUAUUCUGAAUAUUUUUAUUAUCCUUUUACUGAAUUGUGUUCUCAAAUUCAUAUUAUAGGCAGUUUUUUCCUGAUAUGAUUGUUUUAUAUUGUCCAGAGACUGCAAAAAAAUCAAAAUACAUAAUGAUGAAGAACUUUUGUUUAGUUUAUGGACCCUUACACAAUUUCUACACAUUGAGUGAAAUCAACUUAGAGAGAGUAGUAUCAAUUUAAACCUGAUGAUGUUUAUAUGCACUGAGGCAUAAUGACAAAUUCAGGUAAUUUUCAGUGUGCAGAGAGAAGAAUAGAAUUAUCUAUGCUCUACCAGGGAAGCUGAGGAAAAUGUCUAUGUACUGAACUCCUCUAAAAUAUGAUAAAAUGUAUGUCAUAAAAGAAACUGUCCUGCUGCCUUUUCCAUGAGCCACACAUCCAGUGCAGCACUGACCUGUGUUCUCAAUGUGACCUUCAGGGGAGCCUUUCAGGGCUCUUUUUAGGUUACAGCAACAGCUGAGAAAAGAAGUCGCUGAUUCCCACUGCUGCCAGGACUUAAUGGAAACUCAGCAGGGGAUGGCUGGAGAAUUUAAUUUCUUCUUGUGUGUUCUCUCUGAUAUCAAUGUCUGCUGCUCUUUGCCCACCCUUUGCAGGGUGAUAUAUACCUGAACCCUUUUCCUUGUCCCUCUCAAGUCUCUUUCCAUGUACAAGCACAGAGGGAAAUAACAUCAUGUGCUGCAGUGUUUGCUUCACAAGAUACAGGAUCCAAGGUAGCAGAGAUAUCCCAGCAGGACACAUUAAUAAAACUGAAAUUCUUCAGGUAACUUUUGUCAAGCAUAACUGGGGCAGUACUAUGUGUAUUGAAGAAUGUGGUCUUACAUUUGAAUUAAUUCAGAAAAUUCAGAGUUGAGUGGAGAUUUAGAAGUAUCUUAAUGGUGUUCUGGCAUGCUCAGUCCACCUGAGUAGCAAGGAGAGUCAUAGUUCCAAAGAUGUAUCAUAUGACAGAAACCGUGCCAUCUCAGAGGCAGUGCUGUAAACAUGCUCCUGCAAUGCCAGCAUCUCGCCAGGAAUGGGAAGUUCUAUUUCUUUCAAAAGCAGGUGAUAAUUUAGAGGCAGCUUAACUAAUAGAUUGGGAGGGCUUCAGCCUCGUGUCUGGUAGGAAACAUUCAACUAUCUGAUGAACUCAAGGACCCACUAAACUCCAACAAUCUAUAACUAGAUGUACUUCAUUAUGGAAUGAGAUUUAAAUAAUGAUGGUUUCAAUAUCAGAACAAGGUAACAGCAUAAUUGAAUAGCUGGAACAAAAAGCUGAAUUCAUCUGCCCAGAUUUAUCUUAUCUGACACUGUGUGAUUGAGAGAUGCUAAAGUCAUCAUCAGUUCCCUAUAAGCUUCAACAGAGCAGGAAGACAAAAGGUAUGGGCAGGCAGCAUAAAUAUCUGUUCAUUCUAAGCAUGAUAGAGGGAAAAGGCAUUACUCUGAGUAUUUCUAACUACCACAUAAUUGCAUUGCAAACUACAAGAAAAACUUUCAGUAUAAAAAGACAUUUCAAUGUCUUAGUUGUUUUGGUGGACUGUUAUUAGUCCUUGCAAAUAUGGUCAUCUUGAUCUAACAAAUCCCAGCUGACAGCUCCUGGUGAUACCUCACAGUACAUUUUCUGUUCCAGAGGAAGUCCCUUGAUGACAUUAAAUUUGGUUAGGUGUAAAAAUAAAAAUUAAUACGUUAAAAUAUUUAUUUUUUAAUUUGACUGUUGUCUUCUACCUUCACUUAAAUAAGAAUAUACAAAAGGGACAACUCUUUAGCUGAUAUUUUAGUACACUGCUGUAAAACACCUUGUUCAUUAGAAGAAAGAGCUACAGGCCAAGUGAAAAAUGUUGAGUUAUUGCCAUUUUGACUAAAAAAGCAGCAAGUAUAAAGGAAGAGGAUCUAGAUGAAAAAUGUAGGUGAUUUACAUAUCUUGCUUGAAAAUGUAUUGAUAAAAUCAUUCCAAAAUAGCAUGCUGCCAUGAAUGACUUGGACACAUGUGAGAAGUUUGGUAGAUGGUACAACCAAUGAUAUUUGCACAGAUUUGCAUAAGUCUUCCAAGAGAAGAUUUAUAUAUUAGCCAAGGCUUUGCAGGGACCUAUUCAAUAUUGUCAGUAGUGCUUUGAACUAGGAAAAUACACAAGGACAAUGGAAGAACAGGUAAGAAAUACUGAGGAGUAAUUAGGCUGAAAAAGUUAAACUUAAACAUGGAAACAAUAACCUGAAAACCUCUUAAGUAAUCUUUGACAGAAUACUGGUGUGUUGGUUUUGGGUUUUUUUCCAUCUCGGCUCCUUGUUCACAGGCUAGGAAUUUCAGAAGUAAUCUCAAUGAAUAAUAUAAAGGCAAAUAAACUAAACAUUGCAUUGAAGUUUCAGGGCAAAGUGAGAAAGAAAAAGUAAUUUGGACUAUGUUUACAGAGGUCAAAAAUGGAGAUAAAUGUGAGAAGAACAUCAUGGUAAAUCAGUGGAUAUCCAAAGUUUUUGUGUCAUUGAAACUACCAAUACUGAUAGCACUUCUUAAAUUUCCUGCAGUGAAAUUAGAGAAUCAAUUAUAGAAUGGAUUCAUCUGGAAAGAGCCUGAAAGAACCUUCCACUAUCCCAGGCUGCUCCAGCCCCCUCCAGCCUGGCCUUGGACACUUCCAGGGAUCCAGGGGCAGCCACAGCUUCUCUAAACAACCCGUGCCAGGGCCUGCCCACCCUCACAGGGAAGAAUUUCUCUCUAAUGUCUAAUAUAUAACUCUUUUUCAGUUUAAAUCUGUUACCCCUUGUCCUACUGGGGAAAAGUCCAUUUCAUGCUGCCUUUCCUAGAACACUGCCUCAUGGCAGGGAACCUUUGCAGACAGGGGAAGCCAAUCACUUCUGCUAAUAAAUCAUUAGCACAUUUCUUGUCAAGCUUUUGACCUGUGCCAACAACACAUCUCCUGAGCAGAUUUAAAGGCAUAACUGGACAGCUGGCAUUUUCUGGGACCCUUCCCAAUACAGUCUGCAUCCAGCCUCACCAUGCUUGAUACAGAAAUAGUUUACUUCUAUAAGCACAAACAGUUCCAUGCCAAUUGGCCUAAGUUCCUGGACAUGUUUAAUUUACUAGUGGAGCUGCAGUGUUACUCUGGAAGGGUUUGGAGGAGCAACAGCAGUAUCUGUCCUUGGGAAAGGAAGGACCUGCUGGAAGAAGCAACAACACCUUGAUGAAAAAAGGGAAUUAAAAUCGAUUGUGCCUCUAUUAACUUUCUGCCAAGGCUUCCAUCUCUUCAGGGCUGGGCUCCACUACAGCUGGAUGCAAAACACAGGGGAGUCAAAAGAGAAGAGGCAGAUUGAGGGUAGACUCCAGCUACAGGCUGGAGUUCACACUACAGCUACUGCACAGUAGCGAGGAGGGAACAAGGAUCUGCAGUGCUGACAUUCCCAUGGAAGAGGGAGGAAUUUAUUGUGCUGAAAAUAGAUCCUUCUUGAGAUGAAGACAGGGCAGCUGCCUCACCCUUUGCCAGCUGUUAACCAUGGCUUCCCCUGCCCUGUGUUCUGGGACUGGCUGUUAAUUCAGGAAUUACAGCAAGGCAGCAGAGUCAAGUGGGGAAGCGGUGGCAUGUCACCAUUACUAGUCUGUAUCCCUUUAGGACACCAUCCUGAGCCCCCAUCCACGAUUUUAUCUUGGUACCAUUCAGCUCACAAACUAGAGACUUGACUUGAGUGUGUGGAUUAGGAGAUAGAUGUGGAAAUAACACAUGAUAUGAAAUACCUUGCUGAACACCCUGAGGCUGUGUAAAGUGUUUUCACAGUGUCUCUUGCAGGCAUCUCAUUUGGAAGCUGAGGAUGGGCUGGACAAAUGGGUGGUUGUAACCUUUGAAAAUUGUCUUAACUGUCUCUACUGUUCAAUCAGCAGCUAAUUAGUAGCUGGCUGGCAGUUGAUAAUGAGAGCAAUACCUCCAUGGCUCACAAGGAGUCUUAUCUUUCAAAAUCUUCAUCAAAGCCAUGUGAGUGAGUCACAGAUUGCACCUUUGCAAAUUUGCCAAUAACACUAAGGGAUUGGAGUGACAGAGAUUUAAUCUGACUGCAACUCUGAAUGAAUAGGGUUUGUCAGAUAAAGCUUAUUGCAGGGAACUGAUUUUUUCUCCAUCCGAAGGCCAGUUUUGGUGAUUCAGAUGCAUUCAGACUGUUCUCAGACAUUGCAGAUGCAAUCUCUUGUGCCUAUCCAGGGAUGUAUAACUCCCAGCUCAUUCAGAUUUCCUUUUUGUUGCCCUUGCAUUCAGAUUUCUUCUGCUUAUAGCUAUGGUGGCAAUCCUGUGCCUCAGUGAACAUGGGGAGUCCUGGUGUUUAAUGUGUCAGUGAAACUCUUACCUUUCUAAUGGAAGUUGGAGCCAAGGGAUAAGAAAACAGACUUCAUGGAUAGCCAUGCCCAAUACUUUUCUUGAGCUACUGUAGUCCCAGCUAGACAAGGCAGGGAUUAUUCAUGGUGGUAACCAAGACAAAGCCUUUCCCAGGUGGAAAUUCAAGUUCUAACAAGUAGAGAGCAGAAACCUGUCUUUACAUAUGACACUAUUUCCUCAAAGUAUUAAUAAAUGAAGCCUUUAAAAAGAGCCACAGUAUGAAAGCAGAUGUGUCAAAGACAAGAUAUCUCAGCUGUAUCCUGUAGCCAAGAAAAUAGGAGGUACUGUGAAUAUUUAGGGAAGAUUGUGUCAGCAUAAGGGAAUCAUCCAAAGGGAAUUAAAAAGCUAAAUAAUAGAUGCCUUUUGGCUUGAAAAUGGGGGCACUGGGUUGCCUGCUGGAGCCUUUCCUGUCAGCUGCUGGCUGCUUGUUACCUUAAGCAAAUGAAAAUCACACACAGAAAGAUAAAGUUUUUGAUGAAGCCAUCAGUAGAGCAUGUGGACUGCAGGCCAGAGCUACAAACCACAAACUUACCUCAUGGGGAUGGCAGGAAAAAGCCAGCAGGGAUGUCAGAAUCCAAGAAGUCUAUUUUUCCCCACGUCAUGGGCUGGCCCUCCCUUCACAGGGUUCCACAACUGCCAGAGUUAUCAGGUACUGGCUUUAACCAGCUGCUGCUCUCCCAAGGGAGACAAGUCAUACUGAGGAAGAGGAGACAGAGAUUGCAAACUCUGCAGGUGGAGAAAAGGUCCCUGAGGGAUCCCCAGCAUGUGGGUGUGAGUGGCACUGUUGCAAAUUGCUGGCUCACUUGGUUGUCUGGAUUAUAGGUGGUGAAGGUUUGGUGUAGGUGUAGUCCCGUCCUGCUGAGAAAAUUUCAGGUCAAGAUUUCUUUUCUGAUCUGCAGUGUAGGAGGAUUAAAAAGGCAAUGGGAAGGAAGAACAGAAGAUAAUACCUGUGCUUUAUACUGGACUAGCAACUUGCCAGUUCUUCAGCCUUGAAAUAUAUAUUGGGCAUCAGUAUUCAGUCAGCUCAAGGCUAGCAAAAAGCUCUAAUUAAAGAAACUAAUAGGAAAUCCCAGGGUGAAAGAGCAACAGGAGGUAUGAUGUCACUUUUUUAAUUGGCAGAGUUCUUGCAAUAACUCUUCUGAGAAAUAGGAACACCACAAGCCUCCUGGGAGAAGCCAGUACUACUCAUUAAAUCCCUUGCAUCUAAAGCCAGUCACAGGUGGACCAUGUUAGCUGUGACUGCUGGAAAAUUUGCAUUAUAACAUGAAAACCAGGAUUGUUUAUAGGUUUCUUGACAACUGAGAUGGUAACUUAAUAUUUGAUCCACUGCUGUGUAACACUGCAGUAAAUAAAACAAUCCCCUGUUAGUUCAAAGGUAAGAUGAGAGCACAGCAGCAAAGAGUGACUGAAAAUAAGAGCUGAGUGCAUUAGCAAAAAUCACGUGUUCUGUGGGUUUCCCAAACAGGCACAGUGAUGUGGAUUGUACCAGUGUUGUACUUUGGAAACUGUUAGGGAGCUCUGUAUAAAGUUCUGGUGGCACCUCUGCUGAAAUAUUCUGUGUUAACCCAGCAUUACACAUUCAGAAGUUAAUGACUCAAGGGGAAAAGGGGAGCUUGUGAGACCACAGGGGAGCAAAGAAACUUCCUUGAGGGAGGAGCUUGGAAGAGUUCAACCUAAAGCUCUUGGGUCUUGGCCAGCACCCAAGGGGCACUAGUGAGCCACCCACUUGCUUUCAGGUGCUUUAGAUCCUUACAAAUCCAUCCUACAUCAUGUUGCCUCCCCAAGCUCUGUCUCGUGCACUUUGCAAACUUGACUUGCCAGGUUUGAAACCCCCAUCAGCCUGGAGCCAGAAUCACCAGGCACGGCACGAGCCGCUCUGCCCAGGCAAGGAGAGGCCCCAGCUGGCCCUGACUGCAGCAGCUUUCUGUGCACUCCAUGAACACACAGAGAGCUUUGCCUGCCAGGUGUGUGCUCUGCCCAGAGGCACAAGCAGUGGCUGUGUCUGGCACUGCCUGUGCAAACAGAGGCUGUCCUGGCUGCAGAGCAGCAGCACCUGGGCUCCAGGCUCUCCAUGGCCGCUUGGCAAGGGGGACAUCCCUGCCCUGCUGCUGCCUGCUGGCUUCUUGUGACAGACAUGUCAGGACACAAAGGCCAGCCCAGAGCACUGUCCUGGCAGUGACUCAGCCUUGAUAACAUCUGGCUGAAAAGCACAGGAAUGAUGAGAUAGGCAGAUGUGCUGAGGCUUUAACAUUGUCCCAUUCCUCAAGUGCUCCUGGUUCAGGCACAUCACAGUCCUGCUUUGUUCUGUGUGGGAUCAGGAGUCUAGACCUGGUUUUCCUCUCAUGGAUUUCCCUGGCAGGUUUUUGAAUGAAUGGAAACCUUCAGUAGCCACUGCAUUGGUGGUGAUGAGUUGUGGAGAUUGAUUACAAGAGUUUUGAAGAAUAUGUGACACUAAAUGGUCUCCAAAUGAUGGUUCUUCUCACAGGGGAGGUACUCUUUGGGCCAUGAAUGUUCUCUCCUCUAUUUUCUGCCACACAUGAGCCAUAACCUUUCCAGAUUUAUGAUGUGGACAUCUGCCCUGUCUUGGCCUGAACUAUUCUGUCAGCAAUACAUCCCUAAGGAUCCCAGACCAGUUAUUUUUAUGGAUGGUAGUAUCAUUGCUCCUUGGGGUUGGGUUUCAGAAACAGGGAGAUUGUUUUUCACUGACAUCUUAAAAUUUGAGGGGGAGAUUAGAAUUCUCUAGGGAGUAAGUGUGGCAUUUGUCUCUGUCAGCUGCACAGAGUAUAUAAUCUGUUCCUAUAAAAAGAACACCAAGAUUUAUACAAUUCAGGACAUCAUAAAUUAUGCUAAAAUGUGGGGUCUUCUGAAUUCAGGAAACUGAAAUGUAAAUUAAUGGAAAAAUAAAAGUACACCCACAUUUGCCUGCA